AACGAACGCUGGCGGCAGGCCUAACACAUGCAAGUCGAGCGCCCCGCAAGGGGAGCGGCGGACGGGUGAGUAACGCGUGGGAACGUACCCUUUGCUACGGAAUAGCCUCGGGAAACUGGGAGUAAUACCGUAUGUGUCCUUCGGGAGAAAGAUUUAUCGGCAAGGGAUCGGCCCGCGUUGGAUUAGGUAGUUGGUGGGGUAAUGGCCUACCAAGCCGACGAUCCAUAGCUGGUUUGAGAGGAUGAUCAGCCACACUGGGACUGAGACACGGCCCAGACUCCUACGGGAGGCAGCAGUGGGGAAUCUUAGACAAUGGGCGCAAGCCUGAUCUAGCCAUGCCGCGUGAGCGAUGAAGGCCUUAGGGUUGUAAAGCUCAUUCAGGGGGGAAGAUAAUGACUGUACCCCCAGAAGAAGCCCCGGCUAACUCCGUG
rnacentral:rRNA from 1 species